UACGGAGGGUGCGAGCGUUGUUCGGAAUCACUGGGCGUAAAGCGCGUGUAGGCGGCCUGCUAAGUCUGAUGUGAAAGCCCGAGGCUCACCCUCGGAAGCGCAUUGGAAACUGGCAGACUGGAGUCCCGGAGAGGAGGGUGGAAUUCCUGGUGUAGCGGUGAAAUGCGUAGAUAUCAGGAGGAACACCCGUGGCGAAAGCGGCUCUCUGGGACGGUACUGACGCUGAGACGCGAAAGCGUGGGGAGCAAACAGG
rnacentral:rRNA from 1 species